rnacentral:rRNA from 1 species
GACGUAGGGCGCGAGCGUUGUCCGGAUUUAUUGGGCGUAAAGAGCUCGUAGGCGGCUUGUCGCGUCGACUGUGAAAACCCGCGGCUCAACCUCGAGAUGUCGGCGGAAACCAUCUGGCUAGAGUCCGGAAGAGGAGAGUGGAAUUCCUGGUGUAGCGGUGAAAUGCGCAGAUAUCAGGAAGAACACCCGUGGCGAAGGCGGCUCGCUGGGACGUAACUGACGCUGAGACGCGAAAGCGUGGGGAGCAAACAGG